CUGGAAAGGCUCAGGUUGAUGUAUAUUUACAGGAUAAGCACCAUGGAUGGGCUGUAUCAGACAUGACCUGUGUUUUGAAUCUUUGAAGACAUCUUAUGAUGAAGAACAUAUCUCAUUCUGCAGUAAAAUUUAGCAAGUGAAAUCUGACAAAAGGAAGAAUCUGUACUGAUUCAUUAUAUCAUCAUUUUAAGCAGCUUCUCAACACUAUUAAGACACAGGAUGAAAGAAGACAUCACUGCUUCUGACUUUUCCUUCAUGUCCAUGAAAAAUGUGCCUGAGGCACCACAUCUACAGCGAAUUCUUCUUUAUGGAAGUGACACAUAGAGAUUCCUAACCAGAUUCUCAUGGAUUAACCAAAACUGCAGUACUUUGUGAAGCAGAGAGCACAGGAGAACUUUACAUUCAUACGGAAAACUAUUCCCAAGACCAAAGAGUUUUUCCCUGAUUAGUGAGGUUAGUAUGAUCCUAUUAAAAACCAUUAUCCAGACUGACAAUAUUUGGAUCAAGAGCAUCUGACAACAUCCCUUUAGCCCUCAUAACACCUUUGUGAGGUGACAGACAGAAGACAUUCCUAAGGAAAACCUCACCACUGAUAAAAGCAUUCAGCAAGAUAGGGAGCAUUCUGAACCCUUAAAAUCAAUAGAAAUCGGAAGUCCUCAGCAUCUCUCACAGUUAUCCUCAAUAUUUGCAAAUGAAGGGUUAUCUACAAAAACUAGAGGUCUAUUUUUUUUUAAGGCAGAAAAACGCCUGUUCACUGGACUACAGCCCUGCAGCAAGCUCUCAUGCACUUCAGAGCUAGAUUUCCCAUUAAUGACAAAAAUGCAAAUAAACAGCAAGUAUCAUAGAAACAUCCACAAAACUUUCAACAUAAAAAGUAAAUCUAGAGCUUAAAACUAGUAUUAUAAAGACCUCAAACUGUUAAAGCUACCUGUAAACUGGACCCAGCUCCAUGGAUGUUUGUGCCCUAACUGCAUGAUCAAGAUUUUAUACUGUAUUUGGCCAUACAGGGCAAGAAAGGGACCAGUUAUCCUUAGCCUUCCUCUCAGAAAAUCCACUCCUGGAAGAGGCAUCCUUCACAGUAGCAGGUACUACUCAAGAGGAAAAAUUCAGGAAUAACUUGGUCUGGCCUUGUCUUCCUUAUUUUUUUCCCCCUUGCCUGUUUUAUAUCUUUUCCCUCUGCCCACUACAGUCCCAUUUUUCCAUUCCAUUCAGAGAAGAUCAAAUCCUAUCUUGGAAAAUACAUUUUCACUAGCAUCAGUUUAACUGAAAGACUAUCUUUUAAGUUUGUAAAGGUAGUACCUAACCACUCAUACUGUUCAUACAAAUAUAGGCAUAUAAAAAUCACCCUGUGCAUAUUCUUGAAUGUUAUUUUCUCUGGUGGGAAAAUAAAAAAGCCUGGUUUAAAUUAACCAUAAAACAAGAGGUAUAUUUGAAAUUAAAAAUUUGUUACCCCAUUAUCUCCAAGAAUAUCUAGCUUCUUCAUAAGUUCAGAUAUAUUCACAUCCUGAAAAAGAUGUUCAACACAUUUUUUAAAAAGUAGGUGAGGAACAGGUUAUGUUACAUUUUAUGUACCCUUUACCCACUUCUGCAUGCAAAAAGACUUGAAAUGUAAAUACGUGAAACAUUAGUUUCACAUCACAAUUACAAAUGUUUUAUUGAUACUUUUGGAGACAAAACCUAAUCUCUAUAGCAACCGGGAUGUCUGUGUAUGAGGGGAGAAUGUUACUGUACCAUUCACAUUUAUCAUUCUGCUGAUGAAUGCAGAGAGUUUGAGAGAUCAAAACCGAUAAACAGGCUUAAAGGACUCUUCUGUUUGGAGUGGAUCAUCAAGCACAUCAAGCUACACAAGUUAAAAGGACAGAGAGCAUGAACAAAAUAGUUGCUAAGGUUUGUUGGCUGAUUUGUUUUUUAUUUUCUUUGUUAAACAAAAGUGUGGAGUUUCAAAUCAGCAUUACAGUGGCAGAAGGGAAUAUGCACAAUAGGCUGAACACACCCCUCUAAACACUAUCAGCUCAUAACGUUUGUGAGUAAAAAGCCACAUUUCUCUGCCAGUCCUCAGUGGAUAAACUAUCCUUUCUAAAGCCCAGUGACUGAAAUCAAGAAAAACACUCCUCUGAUACAAAAAAAGAGGAAGACAUUCACAUGGUCUGUAUUUUACACAGUGCCAGGGUACAUUCCUAGCCCCCAGAACUCUAUUUUGUACUUUAAAAAGUUGUUGGAAAGGUUCAUGGUAUUGUUUAAUCUGUGCUAAUCACAUUCUCCUGAACUAUCCAAAGUAUGAUCCACACAUUAACAUGGACUGGGCAUCAUUCCCAUUGACAGCCUGUACGCAACUGUGCUGUGUGAAGGUAGGAAGGCUUGAGAGCAUGGGCAAAGACCAGUUAAUGUGAGUCUAAAAUGCUCAUUAUGCAUGUAUAACACAAGACAGCCUUGUUAAAUGCUGGCACUCUCAACUUCUACUCAUAUUUAUCACUCCUUAGAAGAUGCCAACAUUUCACUGGGCUGUUUUGGCUCACUAGUUUCAUUACUUACAGUAAGUAACAUGCUGGUUUACAUCUAUGUGUUGUGCAGCUUCAUUAUGUUGAUAGUCAGGAUUAUCAGUCGUUAAAAUUUUUAAAAGCUAUAUUAGCUAUGCUUGCAAACUAUACAACUACACCAGAAUAUAUUUGCGCAUUCUUCUAUACCCAACAGACUCCAGUGAGGGAGGCUUAAUAAGAAAUGAAAUCUUUCCUGAAGACCAGACACAGAUGUGGGAGAGAAUCCACAAAUUAGUCCAACCUGGCUCUAAAACAGGAAUAACGUGUUGUGUUCAAGUUGGUCUAUCCUAAGAAGUCUCCUCCCUCUCUUCUUUGUCUCCCCAAAUACUUCAGCAGUGUCUCCAAAUGUUACAUUAGCUACUAAACAGUGCACAUCAGUAAUUUUAGAAUGGUGUGGAGUUUAAUACACGCUUGUAUUUGGAUCAGUGUUAAAA